rnacentral:rRNA from 1 species
GACGACGACGGGUAGCCGGCCUGAGAGGGCGACCGGCCACACUGGGACUGAGACACGGCCCAGACUCCUACGGGAGGCAGCAGUGGGGAAUAUUGCACAAUGGGGGAAACCCUGAUGCAGCGACGCAGCGUGCGGGAUGACGGCCUUCGGGUUGUAAACCGCUUUCAGCAGGGAAGAAGCGCAAGUGACGGUACCUGCAGAAGAAGUACCGGCUAACUACGUGCCAGCAGCCGCGGUAAUACGUAGGGURCRAGCGUUGUCCGGAAUUAUUGGGCGUAAAGAGCUCGUAGGUGGUUGGUCACGUCUGCUGUGGAAACGCAACGCUYAACGUUGCGCGUGCAGUGGGUACGGGCUGACUAGAGUGCAGUAGGGGAGWCUGGAAUUCCUGGUGUAGCGGUGAAAUGCGCAGAUAUCAGGAGGAACACCGGUGGCGAAGGCGGGACUCUGGGCUGUAACUGACACUGAGGAGCGAAAGCAUGGGGAGCGAACAGGAUUAGAUACCCUGGUAGUCCAUGCCGUAAACGUUGGGCACUAGGUGUGGGGGGCAUUCCACGUUCUCCGCGCCGUAGCUAACGCAUUAAGUGCCCCGCCUGGGGGAGUACGG